CGGGUAGUAAUUAUUUGCGGGUACCAACUAUCCAUCGCGGAUAUAUCUGUGGAUAUCUGCGAGUGCGAAUUUUUUUCCAUCCCUACAUACAAGACAUUUAAUCAUAAUAGCUCAUGGUUAACUAUGAUGUUUUAGAAAUCAACAAUUAUUUUGGCCAAUGGAUCCAAAUCAUCUAUGUAAAAGCCCAUAAACAAUAAGUACAAAUAACACAUUCUACGAGGUAUGUUAACUAUGUUUUCAUUAAUUACACAUUUAUUGAAUUCUGACGUGAAAGAUUAACUUGAUCGUUGAAGUGUCAUAGGCCCAACUCCUUUUUGUCUUAGGGAGAACGAGCACUUAGGAGAAAGAUUAAUACUCUAAAAAUUCAAGGAUGAAAGGGUUUAAAGAAUCUUUAGAAGUCUUUGUUGGAUACUUACUCGACUCUAUAAGAACAAAUAUAAUUAAAAUAUCGUGAAUUUCACAUUUGAAACCCUAGACUACACCCUUUUCACUUCUUGCUCUUCUUCCUCGCACUACUACCACCCAUAUUCUUGUUAUCCUUCAUAUUGCAACUAUUGCACUCAUUCUUUUUAUCUUUUAUCUCGCAGGUGGCCUUCACCCCCAUUGUUCUUGUUCUGCAUCUUUGUACCAUUAUUGCUACACUCCAUUGUUCUUCUUUUUCAUCUUUUCCCACUGUCGUUACACCCCACUCAUCACUUGUUCUUCGUUGUUUUCUUCAUUACAAAGGUCAA
rnacentral:lncRNA from 1 species